AGGAGGAACAACCGCAGUGGCGGGGCCAGCUCUGCAGCCCUGGAUUCAGCCCCCGCAGUAACUCCAGAGCUCUAGGUCUGCAGGGCCUGGAGGCUCCGGGGCGGG
rnacentral:pre_miRNA from 1 species